AGACAUUUGUGGAAGCUUCCAAGAAGACAAAUGGAAUGGAAUAGGAUGUUUACUUUCACGGAUCAGAAAUGAAUCACGUUGCUUUCUUUCAGAGUUGUAGAGUCUUAGGAAAGAAACAACAGAAAGAAAAUGUUUUGUAGAGGAGAGCUGUGAAAAGAACAGACUUCUGAGUGGAGUACCUGGGUCAGGAGAUAUGGAUCGAUUCUGUGAUUGGGCUCCUGAAAAACAAUAAACUUGCCAUGCUUUUGUAUACCUGGAUGCGGUCUCCAAAUGCUCUCUCUAGGCAUUUAUUCUGCUCCAGGGUCUUCAGAAGAACAGGAUACACACCCUGGGAACUCAGCCACCAUACUGUGGGGAAGCCCAGGCCACAUGGAGAGGCCACGUGUAUGUAUUCCAUCUGACAGCUCCAGCUGAGGUCCCAGCUGCCGGCCAUCAUUAACUGCCAGACAGCACCCAAGAGAAACUGUGACUUCAACUGUAGUAGAAAGCUUUGAAGAGAAGAGUGAUGAAGUUCCAUUUCAGAGGGUC